AGAACUAACUCAGAACGCAGUCAUUCGCUUAAUCCCUAACUUUUGCCUAGAUCGCCCUUUCGGGUUUUCAAUCCACCGGGAUACCCAUUUUUGCCUAAGUUUCCUUUUCAGGUUUUCAACUUACCGGGUGUAUAAUCUUUUAGUUUUAGUCCCUAACUUUUGCCCGAACCUUUUUCAUUUUCUUGGUUCGUCGGGAUGCCCAUUUUUGCCUGGAUUAUUCUUUUUACUGUCCAG
rnacentral:lncRNA from 1 species